GCAGCCAGCGAGCGUGUGCGCCGUAUAGGAAUCCGCGCGGCCGGCUCUUGAGGCGUUUCAUAUCGGAGAGACACCGGCAGACCCACUGGGGUGCAGGCAGCCCGCCGCCCCGACACCGCCGAGACCGACGCUCCCUCUCCCGGUCUGACAGGCCAAUCGCAGGCCACCGCUCGCCCUCCCUCCAUCCACAGUUCUCUCUCUCUCUCUUUCUGUGUUUCUCACUCACUCUCCCUCCUCCUCCUCUCCUCCUUUCGCUCUCUCUCUCUCGCUCCGGUUUUCAUUCCUUUGCGUUCAAUCCGUGCAUCCCCUCCUCCUCUUCCUCCUACUCCACCUCCUCCUCCUCUCCUCUCCUCCUCCUCCUCCUCACACCUUUUGGUCAGAAGAGGAAGAGGAAGCCCAGCCCAUGGAGAGACGCUGAGAGGAUGAAACUCUGACACGCCGACAGACCACAGGAAAACAAGAGCACAACUAUAAUUGCUUGAAAGAAGGAAGCGCCCAGGAAGGUCAGCCAAGACUCCUGCCUUAGGUGCCAGAGUGAGAUCUACAGGACUACAAUUACUUGGACAGACUGAGGCGGCAGAGUAAAGUGAAUGACAGGGUGGUGUUGACAUCUGACUUCACUCUCGGCGUCACCAUCGACUAACUUCUCCCUCUCCCAACACCUGCGACCUCUGACCUCCAGCCUCUCAGAAAGGU